rnacentral:rRNA from 1 species
UAAAAGUGUAACAAGGUUCCGUAGGUGAACCUGCGGAAGGAUCAUUA